rfam:Paracoccidioides brasiliensis Pb18 unplaced genomic scaffold supercont2.3, whole genome shotgun sequence.
GGGAAGAUGGCCGAGCGGUUAUGGCGCUACGUUCAGGUCCUUCGGUGAAGAAUCUGAUGAUUCUGAUGAAGUAGAUUCGUAGUAGGGUAACCUGCGUGGGUUCGAGUCCCACUCUUCUCA